AUCCGGCUGACGAGUCCCAAAUGAGACGGGACGCGCGUCCUGGAU
rnacentral:hammerhead_ribozyme from 1 species